AAUAGACAUCAUCCGAAGAUUGAAAUCUGGAAACUGGAGGCUUGUUUUUAAAGCCAGACUACAAGUUCAGGAAACUUAUUGGAGUAAUUCUAUUCAUUGAUUGGCCAUCCUUCAUUUUGCCUCCUGUUCAGAUUUUGAGAUCCAACAUAUCUUCAGUAACUGGUGUGCAUUUUGUUUAUAGAAGAUUUCCCCGACAAAAUCAGGAGAG
rnacentral:misc_RNA from 1 species